AACGAACGCUGGCGGCAGGCUUAACACAUGCAAGUCGAACGCCCCGCAAGGGGAGUGGCAGACGGGUGAGUAACGCAUGGGAAUCUACCCAGUUCUACGGAACAACUGAGGGAAACUUCAGCUAAUACCGUAUACGCCCUACGGGGGAAAGAUUUAUCGGAAUUGGAUGAGCCCGCGUUGGAUUAGCUAGUUGGUGAGGUAACGGCUCACCAAGGCGACGAUCCAUAGCUGGUCUGAGAGGAUGAUCAGCCACACUGGGACUGAGACACGGCCCAGACUCCUACGGGAGGCAGCAGUGGGGAAUAUUGGACAAUGGGCGCAAGCCUGAUCCAGCCAUGCCGCGUGAGUGAUGAAGGCCUUAGGGUUGUAAAGCUCUUUCAGUGGGGACGAUAAUGACGGUACCCACAGAAGAAGCCCCGGCUAACUUCGUGCCAGCCGCCGCAGUAAGAC
rnacentral:rRNA from 1 species